rnacentral:rRNA from 1 species
AGAGUUUGAUCCUGGCUCAGAUUGAACGCUGGCGGCAGGCCUAACACAUGCAAGUCGAGCGGUAGAGAGAAGCUUGCUUCUCUUGAGAGCGGCGGACGGGUGGGUAAUACCUAGGAAUCUGCCUGAUAGUGGGGGAUAACGUUCGGAAACGGACGCUAAUACCGCAUACGUCCUACGGGAGAAAGCAGGGGACCUUCGGGCCUUGCGCUAUCAGAUGAGCCUACGUCGGAUUAGCUAGUUGGUGAGGUAAUGGCUCACCAAGGCUACGAUCCGUAACUGGUCUGAGAGGAUGAUCAGUCACACUGGAACUGAGACACGGUCCAGACUCCUACGGGAGGCAGCAGUGGGGAAUAUUGGACAAUGGGCGAAAGCCUGAUCCAGCCAUGCCGCGUGUGUGAAGAAGGUCUUCGGAUUGUAAAGCACUUUAAGUUGGGAGGAAAGGGCUUAACCUAAUACGUUGGUGUCUUGAACGUUACGACACAAUAAACACCGGGCUAAUCUGUGCCAGCAGCCGCGGGUAA